AGCCGAAUUAGCCAAACUUCCUGAAUAGCUAAAAAUGCAGGUAGCUCCGUAAGACAAAUCGCUAAAAUAUGUCAUUCCUUCCAUUCAACGUUUUAGAAUGAUGCCUUAAAAAAGAUUCUUUUUGUACUCAUAUUUUUUUAUUGCUGGGUUGGUUAUUGUUGAACCUGAUUAGCAUUGAUAAUAAUAAUAGUUUAUGUCAGCUUAUCUACAUCAAUUCCUAACUGUCAAUUUAUAAUUUUAUCUGUUCACUACAAUCUGUUUCAACUUAGGGUUCUCCGAAGAGAGUUUUAUUCAUUGUUGACUUGAAGACUAUUGAGAGCAUUCCCAGAAGCAGUGAAAGGUUUGCCUGCGGAGAUUUUGAACAAUAGAUUAGAACUCAUUAAAACAACCAUAGAAAUUAUCAAUGGUAAUUUGUUUUACCUUUUGAUGAAAAGAAAAUGAUUCACGCAAGCUGGACGUUUGAAAUAAAAUAGCUGCAAAGAAUGAAUGCGUCAGCAGGUUGAACGAACGUCAAUGAAGUGCGUCAUGAUGGUCAGAUAUCUGUUUCAUGGCCAAACAAGCAUAAUUAGCUGUUUUUGUGAGACCAACAAAAUCCAGCUGUUGUUUAGCAAUACAUAAUAAAUGGAAUGCAGAUAAGAAUGUUACUUUAUUCCUGUCUUACUGAUGUACUUUCAAUUCAAAUAUUGACGUCAAUAUAAAAUGAUGGCAUGAUCGUAUUGUCGCCUUUUUAUCUCGUUACAAUAGUGACUAAUCCGAUUAAUUAUCUUAAAGUGUAAACAAAUGGCCGACUAAUUACAUGUUCGUGGAGACAAUGCAUCUAUAUGGUGAACUUUUAUCUCUACCAGAAAGAUGUUAUGAACACAUGCAAUUACAUUAAUCACCUAUCGACUUAUUAUUAUGUGCAUGCUCCUAAAACGUGAUUUUUAUUGAAGUCACAUGAGUCGCUCUCACAUGACCUGUGACGUAUUCAUCGACUGCCGAUAGGGAAUAAUUGCAUUAUGAAUGAGAAAUUGGUCUCAUAGAACAUUAGAGCCCGUGUAAUGUUUUUUAACUAAGCUGCAUAGUCCUCUGAUGCAAAAGUUCUUUUCAUACAAACUUCAAAACGACUUCAUAAGUUUACAAUCAAUUUGAGAAGCUUUUAUGGACUUUUAAAACUGAUGAGAGCAAACUAUCUCUUUCAUUAGAACUGCCAUGUUUGCAAACAAAAGUUAAAAAAUUUGACUCUGAAUUUUCAACGCUUAAGAGUGAAGUGAUACAUUUUCCUAACUGGAAAACGAAUUUUAGUACUAUAUAAUCCCAUUUAUCAAUAUAUACAAAAUGUUUAAGGGCGCGCGUGACUUUUACCAGAAAAAAAUUAAUUUUCAUAAUUUCUUUUUUUUGGAGAAGAGUCGUGGGUAGUUUUAAAAAUGUGACUUGCCGCUAACAAGUCCUUAUGGAUUAUAAUUUCAUUCGUGUCAAAUGAUAGUAAGGAUUAGAAUGAAUGAAAAAACGAUAAAGUGUCAAAAGAUUUCAGAUACUUUGUUGGUUUUUAGUUUCCUCUGUUUCUUUCCACGCACUUAAAUUCAUUCAUUUUCAAACCACUUAGGGUGAAAUCCUGUUUUGGAUUUCCAUGACUUAAAAUUUCCAUGCCUUGGAUUUUCUGUUCACACACGCACACACA